rnacentral:rRNA from 1 species
GACGAACGCUGGCGGCGUGCUUAACACAUGCAAGUCGAACGGAAAGGCCCUGCUUUUGUGGGGUGCUCGAGUGGCGAACGGGUGAGUAACACGUGAGUAACCUGCCCUUUACUUUGGGAUAACUUCAGGAAACUGGGGCUAAUACCGGAUAGGAGCUCCUGCUGCAUGGGGGGGGUUGGAAAGUUUCGGCGGUUGGGGAUGGACUCGCGGCUUAUCAGCUUGUUGGUGGGGUAGUGGCUUACCAAGGCUUUGACGGGUAGCCGGCCUGAGAGGGUGACCGGCCACAUUGGGACUGAGAUACGGCCCAGACUCCUACGGGAGGCAGCAGUGGGGAAUAUUGCACAAUGGGCGGAAGCCUGAUGCAGCAACGCCGCGUACGGGAUGACGGCCUUCGGGUUGUAAACCGCUUUCGCCUGUGACGAAGCGUGAGUGACGGUAAUGGGUAAAGAAGCACCGGCUAACUACGUG